rnacentral:rRNA from 1 species
AUUGAACGCUGGCGGCAGGCCUAACACAUGCAAGUCGAGCGAGCGGCGGACGGGUGAGUAAUGUAUGGGGACUGCCCGAAAGAGGGGGAUAACUACUGGAAACGGUGGCUAAUCCCGCAUACUGGCGGAUAACCCAUAUGGGAUUAGCUAGUGGGUAAGGUAAUGGCGUACCUAGGCGACGAUCCCUAGCCGGACUGAGCGGUUGAUCAGCCACACUGGGACUGAGACACGGCCCAGACUCCUACGGAGGCAGCAGUAGGGAAUAUUGCACAAUGGGCGCAAGUCUGAUACAGCCAUGCCGCGUGAAUGAAGAAGGCCCUAGGAUUGUAAAGUACUUUCAUUCGAGAGGCGUUACCGACAGAAGAAGCCCCGGCUAACUCCGUGCCAGCAGACGCGGUAAUAC